rnacentral:lncRNA from 1 species
AUAUGUCCUGCAAGCUUAGGGGUGCUACAAGUUGACCACUGCAGCAGUAAAGAUGACUCUGAAGAACGGCGUGGGAUGGUUCCUUUCAAAUGCACUUGAGCAGCGGUCUCCAACCACAGGGCCACAGAGCUGGAGGUGGACAGUCUAGUUGCAGGAAAACAAGCUCAGAGAUCCCACUGAGUCUACAUUAUACUGGAUCUACCAUGAAAGACUUGUGAAUCCAGGAAGAGAGACUGACUGGGCAACAUGUUAUUCAGGUGGGAACAUCCAGUUGCAGGAAAACAAGCUUAACACGCCCACUGAUUCUACAUUAUGCUCCUACCUCCCGGCAGCCUCUCCAGGCCCAGAACUUUCUCCAGUCAGCCUCUACAGACCAAGCUCAUGACUCUCAAUGGCCUAUUUAGGCCCAUACCCUACGUCACGGCAGCCUCCGCAGAUGAGGCUACUGCCUCACAACAGCCUCCACAGGCACAGCUCCAUCGUUACAAUGGCCUCUUUAGACCCAGCUCCUGCCUCCCAGCCUUCUCUCCAGGCCCUGAACUUUCUCAGCUGAAGCGAUCCUCCCACCUCAA